rnacentral:rRNA from 1 species
CAGGGUGAGCCUGCGGCCCUGAACUCACUCGAUCCCAUCUGAUCGGAGCCGCUGAGCAGGGGCAGGCCUGGAUAGUAAUGGUUGGAAAGAGUGGCUUAAUACCUUCAUCGCUCGGU